AGAGUUUGAUCAUGGCUCAGGUUGAACGCUGGCGGCAUGCUUUACACAUGCAAGUCGAACGGCAGCACAGGGAGCUUGCUCCCGGGUGGCGAGUGGCGCACGGGUGAGUAAUACAUCGGAACGUGUCCUGUUGUGGGGGAUAACUGCUCGAAAGGGUGGCUAAUACCGCAUGAGACCUGAGGGUGAAAGCGGGGGAUCGCAAGACCUCGCGCAAUUGGAGCGGCCGAUGCCCGAUUAGCUAGUUGGUGAGGUAAGGCUCACCAAGGCGACGAUCGGUAGCUGGUCUGAGAGGACGACCAGCCACACUGGGACUGAGACACGGCCCAGACUCCUACGGAGCA
rnacentral:rRNA from 1 species